rnacentral:rRNA from 1 species
AAGCAACGCGAAGAACCUUACCAGGCCUUGACAUGCAGAGAACUUCCAGAGAUGGAUUGGUGCCUUCGGGAACUCUGACACAGGUGCUGCAUGGCUGUCGUCAGCUCGUGUCGUGAGGAUGUUGGGUUAAGUCCCGUAACGAGCGCAACCCUUGUCCUUAGUUACCAGCACGUUAUGGUGGGCACUCUAAGGAGACUGCCGGUGACAAACCGGAGGAAGGUGGGGAUGACGUCAAGUCAUCAUGGCCCUUACGGCCUGGGCUACACACGUGCUACAAUGGUCGGUACAAAGGGUUGCCAAGCCGCGAGGUGGAGCUAAUCCCAUAAAACCGAUCGUAGUCCGGAUCGCAGUCUGCAACUCGACUGCGUGAAGUCGGAAUCGCUAGUAAUCGUGAAUCAGAAUGUCACGGUGAAUACGUUCCCGGGCCUU